GACGAACGCUGGCGGCGUGCCUAAUACAUGCAAGUCGAACGCACUCUCGUUUAGAUUGAAGGAGCUUGCUCCUGAUUGAUAAACAUUUGAGUGAGUGGCGGACGGGUGAGUAACACGUGGGUAACCUGCCCUAAAGUGGGGGAUAACAUUUGGAAACAGAUGCUAAAUACCGCAUAAAACCUAACACCGCAUGGUGUAGGGUUGAAAGAUGGUUUCGGCUAUCACUUUAGGAUGGACCCGCGGUGCAUUAGUUAGUUGGUGAGGUAAAGGCUCACCAAGACCGUGAUGCAUAGCCGACCUGAGAGGGUAAUCGGCCACACUGGGACUGAGACACGGCCCAGACUCCUACGGGAGGCAGCAGUAGGGAAUCUUCCACAAUGGACGAAAGUCUGAUGGAGCAACGCCGCGUGAGUGAAGAAGGUUUUCGGAUCGUAAAACUCUGUUGUUGGAGAAGAAUGUAUCUGAUAGU
rnacentral:rRNA from 1 species